UUGGAUGAGUUGCGAACGGGUGAGUAACGCGUAGGUAACCUGCCUGGUAGCGGGGGAUAACUAUUGGAAACGAUAGCUAAUACCGCAUAAUAGUAGAUGUUGCAUGACAUUUGCUUAAAAGGUGCAAUUGCAUCACUACCAGAUGGACCUGCGUUGUAUUAGCUAGUUGGUGAGGUAACGGCUCACCAAGGCGACGAUACAUAGCCGACCUGAGAGGGUGAUCGGCCACACUGGGACUGAGACACGGCCCAGACUCCUACGGGAGGCAGCAGUCAGGGAAUCUUCGGCAAUGGACGGAAGUCUGACCGAGCAACGCCGCGUGAGUGAAGAAGGUUUUCGGAUCGUAAAGCUCUGUUGUAAGAGAAGAACGAGUGUGAGAGUGGAAAGUUCACACUGUGACGGUAUCUUACCAGAAAGGGCGGC
rnacentral:rRNA from 1 species